rnacentral:rRNA from 1 species
GACGGGGGGGGCAAGUGUUCUUCGGAAUGACUGGGCGUAAAGGGCACGUAGGCGGUGAAUCGGGUUGAAAGUGAAAGUCGCCAAAGACUGGUGGAAUGCUCUCGAAACCAAUUCACUUGAGUGAGACAGAGGAGAGUGGAAUUUCGUGUGUAGGGGUGAAAUCCGCAGAUCUACGAAGGAACGCCAAAAGCGAAGGCAGCUCUCUGGGUCCCUACCGACGCUGGAGUGCGAAAGCUAGGGGAGCGAACGGG